rnacentral:rRNA from 1 species
GACGAAGGGGGCUAGCGUUGUUCGGAAUUACUGGGCGUAAAGCGCGUGUAGGCGGUUGUCCAAGUUGGAUGUGAAAGCCUUGAGCUUAACUCAAGAAAUGCAUUCAGGACUGGAUGGCUAGAGGACCGGGGAGGAUAGUGGAAUUCCCAGUGUAGUGGUGAAAUACGUAGAGAUUGGGAAGAACACCAGUGGCGAAGGCGGCUAUCUGGACGGUUUCUGACGCUAAGACGCGAAAGCGUGGGGAGCAAACAGG